UUAUUCAGAGCAGAGUAUCUUUUAUUCAACCCACUCGUCCCGUCUUCUCGUCCUCACCUACUCACACAGUACGUAAUAAAAGAAUCCAACCCUUCUACACUUCAGUCUCUCAGUUGGGUUCUUCGUACCAUUUUCACUCAUCUUUCAAUUUUUCUCAUUACCGCCAAUGGAGGGUGGGUUGAAGCCAAUGGAUGCAGAACAACUGAGAGAGAAUGCCCACCAGAUGGUUGAUUUUAUUGCUGAUUAUUACAAGAACAUUGAGAAUUUCCCAGUUCUCAGCCAAGUUGAGCCUGGGUAUCUGCAUAAACUUCUGCCCGAUUCUGCACCAAUUCACCCCGAAUCAUUGCAAGAUGUCCUUAACGAUGUUCAGGCAAAGAUAUUACCAGGGGUAACCCACUGGCAAAGCCCAGACUACUUUGCAUAUUUUCCCUCUAAUAGCAGUGUCGCAGGAUUCUUGGGAGAAAUGCUCAGUGCUGGUAUUAACAUGGUGGGUUUCAGUUGGAUAACUUCUCCUGCAGCAACAGAGCUUGAGAUGAUUGUUCUUGAUUGGCUUGCGAAAAUCCUAAAGCUUCCUGAUGAUUUCCUCUCAACUGGACAAGGUGGUGGAGUAAUUCAGGGCACGGCAAGUGAAGCUGUUCUAGUUGUGCUACUUGCUGCUCGUGAUAAAGUUUUAAGAAGGGUAGGAAAAAAUGCUCUUGGAAAGCUUGUGGUUUAUUCAUCUGAUCAAACACAUUCUGCUUUACAGAAAGCCUGCCAGAUAGGAGGAAUUCAUCCAGAGAACUGUAGGGUGCUGAAAGCAGACUCUUCCACUGAAUAUGCUCUUUCUCCAGAAUCCCUUGAUGAAGCAGUUUCACAUGACAUUGCCAUUGGUCUAAUCCCCUUUUUCUUAUGUACUACUGUUGGUACAACUUCAUCCACAGCUGUGGAUCCUUUGCUUGCAUUGGGAAAAAUUACCAAGAACAAUGGAAUGUGGUUUCAUAUCGAUGCUGCAUAUGCUGGAAGUGCUUGUAUAUGUCCAGAAUUCCGCCACUACAUUGAUGGUGUUGAAGAAGCCGACUCAUUUAAUAUGAAUGCCCAUAAAUGGUUUCUAACAAACUUUGAUUGCUCAGCUCUCUGGGUUAAGGACAGAAAUGCUCUGAUUCAGUCAUUGUCAACUAAUCCAGAGUUUCUCAAGAACAAAGCCUCUCAAGGAAACUUGGUUGUGGAUUACAAAGAUUGGCAAAUUCCUCUUGGCCGCAGGUUCAGAUCAUUGAAAUUAUGGAUGGUACUACGAUUAUAUGGUUUGGAAAACCUCCAAUCUUACAUAAGAAACCAUAUUGAAUUGGCUAAACAUUUUGAAGAACUUGUUGCUCAAGACCCGAGAUUUGAGGUGGUAGGAGGCUUCGGCUUCAAGAACUGCCUCACUGUGCUAAAUAUCAAAGAAAGCAUCUCGAGGCACAGAGAUCAGAAAGUGUUGUUGCACCUCGGAAGUUCUCGUUAGUUUGUUUCCGGCUUCUGCCUCCCCAUUCUAAUGAGGAUUGUGCCAACAAACUGAACCAUGACCUAUUGGACGCUGUUAACGCAACUGGAAAAAUCUUCAUUUCACACACAGUUUUAUCAGGCAAGUACGUACUGCGCUUUGCUGUAGGAGCUCCACUGACAGAAGAGAGGCAUAUAAACGCAGCAUGGAAGGUUUUGCAAGAUGAGGCCUCCGCCCUGAUAAGGAGUCUGUAGAUUAAAGUUAAUUGUUUUAGUGUCAUAUGUUAAUUGAUGACAUUCUUUGAAUUAUUCAUUCUUGUUUUGAACAGUUUCUGCAUUCUGAAAGCAGCUUUUUAAUUAAUAUUAUUAUUGUUUUAUUUA